rnacentral:misc_RNA from 1 species
AAAAGUAAAAUCGUGGUGUCGCCCUGGUGACAUCUCGGAAUUGGGUGGUCUUAGCCUUUCGGGUUAAGAGACCUGAAAUUUACGCAUCUUUGCGCAUCCUGGACGUGUAUAAUUUAUUUAUCCGUUUUCGAUGUCAAUGUCUUAUUAGGUAUGAUCAUGUCAUGUGGCUUCGUACCUAUAAUUUUUCAUA